UUAAACGGCCGCGGUAUCCUAACCGUGCAAAGGUAGCAUAAUCACUUGUCUUCUAAAUAAGGACUAGAAUGAACGGCUACAUGAGGACUGACCUGUCUCUUGCAUUCAAUCAAUGAAAUUGAUCUUUCAGUCCAAAAGCUGAAAUAACCACAUAAGACGAGAAGACCCUGUGGAGCUUACUAAACUAAGCCCACCGCCAUGAACACUUAGUUUUCAGUUGGGGCGACUUUGGAGCACAAAAACCCCUCCAAAUAACUUAACCAGAUUAACAUAUCGACACCUCCUUUGACCCAGUAGUUUUAA
rnacentral:rRNA from 1 species